rnacentral:rRNA from 1 species
GGGCAUCCAAAGGAAAGGCAGCAGGCACGCAAAUUACCCAAUGAACGAAGUUCGAGGUAGUGACGAAAAAUAACGAUAGCCCAUUCAUCCGAGGCCCGCUAAUUGGAAUGAGUACACUUUAACACCGUCCCCGAGGAUCUAUUGGAGGGCAAGUCUGGUGCCAGCAGCCGCGGUAAUUCCAGCUCCAAUAGCGUAUAUUAAAGUUGUUGUGGUUAAAAAGCUCGUAGUUGGAUCUCAACAGACCUGGAUCGGUUUACUUUGUGUAAUACUGAUCCAGAGCUGUGCUUUUGAUGGAGGUUUAGGGGUGCUCUUAACCGAGUGUCUCUGAGUGCCAUCAGGUUUACUUUGAAAAAAUUAGAGUGCUUCAAGCAGGCUUUUAUGCCAGAAUAUUUGUGCAUGGAAUAAUAGAAUAGGAUGUUGAUCUUAUUUUGUUGGUUUUCGAGACUUGACAUAAUGAUUAAUAUGGACAGUCGGGGGCAUUUGUAUUCAAACGACAGAGGUGAAAUUCUUGGACCGUUUGAAGACAAACUACUGCGAAAGCAUUUGCCAAGAAUGUUUUCAUUAAUCAAGAACGAAAGUUAGAGGUUCGAAGGCGAUUAGAUACCGCCCUAGUUCUAACCAUAAACGAUGCCAGCUGGCGAUCUGCUGACGUUUUUACUGUAGACUCAGCAGGAAGCUUCCGGGAAACCAAAGCAUUUGGGUUCCAGGGGAAGUAUGGUUGCAAAGCUGAAACUUAAAGGAAUUGACGGAAGGGCACCACCAGGAGUGGAGCCUGUGGCUUAAUUUGACUCAACACGGGAAAUCUCACCAGGCCCGGACACUGGAAGGAUUGACAGAUUGAUAGCUCUUUCUUGAUUCGGUGGGUGGUGGUGCAUGGCCGUUCUUAGUUGGUGGAGUGAUUUGUCUGGUUAAUUCCGAUAACGAACGAGACUCUGUCCUGCUAAAUAGUGUUAUCUUCUUUUUUGAGAUGACAAUUCUUCUUAGAGGGACUGGCAACUCUUAGUUGCACGAGAUUGAGCAAUAACAGGUCUGUGAUGCCCUUAGAUGUUCUGGGCCGCACACGCGCUACACUGAAUAGAUCAACGUGUCACCCUUCCCGAAAGGGACGGGUAAACCGCUGAACCCUAUUCGUGGUAGGGAUCGGGGCUUGCAAUUAUUCCCCGUGAACCAGGAAUUCCCAGUAGGCACAGGUCAUAAGCCUGUGUCGAUUACGUCCCUGCCCUUUGUACACACCGCCCGUCGCUACUACCGAUUGAACGUUUUAGUGAGGACCUCGGGUUGUGUUUCAGUUGGCUCACGCUGACUGUUUGCGAGAAGACGUCCAAACUGAAAGCGUAAAA